GUGGUCUGACAGCCUAUAGGAGACUAAUUGGCAGUACACCUGGUUUUUAUACAACCAAAACUUGCCUUCAUGGCUGGAAUUCAAAAAUAAUCACCUGCGUUGAGGCCACUGGGAGCAACAUCUUAGGAAUUGGCAGGACUCCACAGACAAUUCCAAAGUGAUCCAACGCGCUGCGCAAAAACGCAGGCGUCACGUCGGAUGCAACAGAAAUAAGGCCCUGGUAAGAACCAGGAGGAAUCUGGCAGGAAGGAGAGAAGGGAGAAGUCGCUGGGACAAAGAUUUCAGAAGUCACGAGAGAUUUUGUUUCCAUGGAAAAGUUGUUGGAAGCUUUAAUACAAUCCACUUGCACUUCACCACCACUAGAGGGAGCCUCGCCAUUACAUUUCUAAUGAAGAUAUAAAUCCUUUGAAGCAGCUGCUCUGUAUAUUUGUUGCCUGAUAAUACAAAUACAUUAUUAACCCAUGCAUGUUAUUGAUAAGAAAAACAACUGUGUCAUUUCUAUGCAAUGUUAAUUCUCCUCUACCAAAGACAACUCUCAGAUCUGUAAAUGGACGAGAUUUUGUUAAAGGGGUGGUUCACCUUUAAGUAAACUUUUAGUAAGUUAUAAA